rnacentral:rRNA from 1 species
UACGUAGGGAGCAAGCGUUGUUCGGAUUUACUGGGCGUAAAGGGCGCGUAGGCGGCAAAUUAAGUCAUCUGUGAAAUCUCCGAGCUUAACUCGGAACGGUCAGGUGAUACUGAUCUGCUAGAGUGCGGAAGGGGCAAUCGGAAUUCUUGGUGUAGCGGUGAAAUGCGUAGAUAUCAAGAGGAACACCUGAGGUGAAGACGGGUUGCUGGGCCGACACUGACGCUGACAGCGCGAAAGCCAGGGGAGCAAACGGG